AUUGAACGCUGGCGGCAUGCCUUACACAUGCAAGUCGAACGGCAGCACGGAGCUUGCUCUGGUGGCGAGUGGCGAACGGGUGAGUAAUAUAUCGGAACGUACCCUAGAGUGGGGGAUAACGUAGCGAAAGUUACGCUAAUACCGCAUACGAUCUAAGGAUGAAAGUGGGGGAUCGCAAGACCUCAUGCUCGUGGAGCGGCCGAUAUCUGAUUAGCUAGUUGGUAGGGUAAAAGCCUACCAAGGCAUCGAUCAGUAGCUGGUCUGAGAGGACGACCAGCCACACUGGAACUGAGACACGGUCCAGACUCCUACGGGAGGCAGCAGUGGGGAAUUUUGGACAAUGGGCGAAAGCCUGAUCCAGCAAUGCCGCGUGAGUGAAGAAGGCCUUCGGGUUGUAAAGCUCUUUUGUCAGGGAAGAAACGGUGAGAGCUAAUAUCUCUUGCUAAUGACGGUACCUGAAGAAUAAGCACCGGCUAACUACGUGCCAGCAGCCGCGGUAAUACGUAGGGUGCAAGCGUUAAUCGGAAUUACUGGGCGUAAAGCGUGCGCAGGCGGUUUUGUAAGUCUGAUGUGAAAUCCCCGGGCUCAACCUGGGAAUUGCAUUGGAGACUGCAAGGCUAGAAUCUGGCAGAGGGGGGUAGAAUUCCACGUGUAGCAGUGAAAUGCGUAGAUAUGUGGAGGAACACCGAUGGCGAAGGCAGCCCCCUGGGUCAAGAUUGACGCUCAUGCACGAAAGCGUGGGGAGCAAACAGGAUUAGAUACCCUGGUAGUCCACGCCCUAAACGAUGUCUACUAGUUGUCGGGUCUUAAUUGACUUGGUAACGCAGCUAACGCGUGAAGUAGACCGCCUGGGGAGUACGGUCGCAAGAUUAAAACUCAAAGGAAUUGACGGGGACCCGCACAAGCGGUGGAUGAUGUGGAUUAAUUCGAUGCAACGCGAAAAACCUUACCUACCCUUGACAUGGCUGGAAUCCUUGAGAGAUCAGGGAGUGCUCGAAAGAGAACCAGUACACAGGUGCUGCAUGGCUGUCGUCAGCUCGUGUCGUGAGGUGUUGGGUUAAGUCCCGCAACGAGCGCAACCCUUGUCAUUAGUUGCUACGAAAGGGCACUCUAAUGAGACUGCCGGUGACAAACCGGAGGAAGGUGGGGAUGACGUCAAGUCCUCAUGGCCCUUAUGGGUAGGGCUUCACACGUCAUACAAUGGUACAUACAGAGCGCCGCCAACCCGCGAGGGGGAGCUAAUCGCAGAAAGUGUAUCGUAGUCCGGAUUGUAGUCUGCAACUCGACUGCAUGAAGUUGGAAUCGCUAGUAAUCGCGGAUCAGCAUGUCGCGGUGAAUACGUUCCCGGGUC
rnacentral:rRNA from 1 species